AUUGAACGCUGGCGGCAGGCCUAACACAUGCAAGUCGAGCGGAGCGGCGGACGGGUGAGUAAUGCCUAGGAAUCUGCCUGGUUGUGGGGGAUAACGUCCGGAAACGGGCGCUAAUAUCGCAUACAAUAAGCCGACCCUAGGUCGGAUUCGCACGUUGGUGGGGUAAAGGCAUACCAAGGCGAGAAUCCGUAACUGGUCUGAGUGGAUGAUCAGUAACACUGGAACUGGGAAACGGACCAGACUCCUACGGGGGGCAGCAGUGGGGAAUAUUGGACAAUGGGCGAAAGCCUGAUCCAGCCAUGCCGCGUGUGUGAAGAAGGCCUUCGGAUUGUAAAGCACUUUAAGUUGGGAGGCGUUACCAACAGAAUAAGCACCGGCUAACUUCGUGCCAGCAGCCGCGGUAAUAC
rnacentral:rRNA from 1 species